rnacentral:tRNA from 1 species
GCCUCCUUAGCUCAGUGGUUAAAGCUUAGGUCUCGUAACCGGAAGGUCCCGGGAUCGAAUCCCGCUGAAGGCA